rnacentral:tRNA from 1 species
GCGAGAGUGGCGGAACUGGCAGACGCGCCAGACUUAGGAUCUGGUGGGCAAUCCCGUGGGGGUUCGAGUCCCCCCUCUCGCA